rnacentral:rRNA from 1 species
UACGGAGGGUGCAAGCGUUAUCCGGAUUCACUGGGUUUAAAGGGUGCGUAGGUGGGCAGGUAAGUCAGUGGUGAAAUCUCCGGGCUUAACCCGGAAACUGCCGUUGAUACUAUCUGUCUUGAAUAUCCUGGAGGUGAGCGGAAUAUGUCACGUAGCGGUGAAAUGCUUAGAUAUGACAUAGAACACCAAUUGCGAAGGCAGCUCACUACGGGAUCAUUGACACUGAGGCACGAAAGCGUGGGGAGCAAACAGG